GUACAAAAAAAUGUUUUCAAGGCUGC
rnacentral:piRNA from 1 species